GACCCAGUGCAGUAUAAUGGUUUGAGCACUGGACUAGGACUCUGGAGACCAGAGUUCGAAUCCAUGCUUGGCCA